rnacentral:rRNA from 1 species
GAUGAACGCUGGCGGCGUGCCUAAUACAUGCAAGUCGAGCGAACGGACGAGAAGCUUGCUUUUCUGAUGUUAGCGGCGGACGGGUGAGUAACACGUGGAUAACCUACCUAUAAGACUGGGAUAACUUCGGGAAACCGGAGCUAAUACCGGAUAAUAUUUUGAACCGCAUGGUUCAAAAGUGAAAGACGGUCUUGCUGUCACUUAUAGAUGGAUCCGCGCUGCAUUAGCUAGUUGGUAAGGUAACGGCUUACCAAGGCAACGAUGCAUAGCCGACCUGAGAGGGUGAUCGGCCACACUGGAACUGAGACACGGUCCAGACUCCUACGGGAGGCAGCAGUAGGGAAUCUUCCCAAUGGGCGAAAGCCUGACGGAGCAACGCCGCGUGAGUGAUGAAGGUCUUCGGAUCGUAAAACUCUGUUAUUAGGGAAGAACAUAUGUGUAAGUAACUGUGCACAUCUUGACGGUACCUAAUCAGAAAGCCACGGCUAACUACGUG